GUAAGGAAUAUUGGUCAAUGGGCGGGAGCCUGAACCAGCCAAGUCGCGUGAAGGAAGAAGGAUCUAUGGUUCGUAAACUUCUUUUGCAGGGGAAUAAAGUGCAGGACGUGUCCUGUUUUGUAUGUACCCUGAGAAUAAGGAUCGGCUAACUCCGUGCCAGCAGCCGCGGUAAUACGGAGGAUCCGAGCGUUAUCCGGAUUUAUUGGGUUUAAAGGGUGCGUAGGUGGUUUGAUAAGUCAUCGGUGAAAGUUUGCAGCUUAACUGUAAAAAUGCCGUUGAAACUGUCGGACUUGAGUGUAAAUGAGGUAGGCGGAAUGCGUGGUGUAGCGGUGAAAUGCAUAGAUAUCACGCAGAACUCCGAUUGCGAAGGCAGCUUACUAAGCUACAACUGACACUGAAGCACGAAAGCGUGGGGAUCAAACAGGAUUAGAAACCCGAGUAGUCC
rnacentral:rRNA from 1 species